CUUUUGCAGUUAGGUGAGCAGCAUGUAGAUGCUGGAAGGCAAACUGUGAAGAAAGAAAGAAAACAGGAAAAAAAAGCUGUGUGGACUUUUGUUCCUUUGAAGUGACCUUUCAGUGCAGGUUGGCAGCCAGACAACCUCUGCAUUUUCUAAAUGAAAGGAGAGUAGCAGCAGGACAUCUCCUACCCUCUGCCUUUCGGUGUUGGAAGAGAACCAAAAUCUGGCAAGCAGCAGUUCUGGGGAUCCAGCUAUUUAGGAGUGGCAGAAAUGCAUGGACACUGGGAAUGUAACAUAAGGUAAAAUAGUGCUGAUGCUUGAAAAUAUGGGUCUUCUUGUGUUACCUGCAUACGUCACUGAUUGUACACUUCUCUUCAUGGCCACCCACCCCGUUGAAUCCCACUCCUGGCACCUCUGCUCCACUUGUUCCCAAUGCUACUGUUUACUAGGGCUCAUGUUCUUGAAAGGAACACAGCAGAUGUCAGUGACAUUGCCGUGGUCAUAAAAGUGAGAUGAAUUAGUAUGAUGCUCUGCAGAAGGCCAGAAGUUACUCCUUGGUCAUACAAAUAGCACUGCAGACUAAUAGCAGUAAAAAUAAUUAACACUCCUGCCCAGGCUCAGUGUUUCUGUAUAUUCUGUAC